rnacentral:lncRNA from 1 species
UGCUAAGUGCUUCUGCCAUCUAACCAUAUGAUCUCUCUUUGUAUGCGUAUGAAUUACAAUCUCUGUAUAUUUUUUCACUUGAGCAGGUGCCUCUCUGGAAUCUGAGGUUGUUUAUAGCCCUCUAAAUUAAGUAGAUCAACAUACUAAACACAGUUGCAACAAUUUCCCAAUAGCCAGACUUCUGCUUCAUGCCUCUCAGCAUCAAAUCAAUC